UACGGAGGGUGCAAGCGUUAAUCGGAAUUACUGGGCAUAAAGCGUGCGCAGGCGGUUUGUUAAGUCCGUUGUGAAAUCCCCGAGCUCAACUUGGGAAUUGCAAUGGAUACUGGCAAGCUGGAGUAUGGUAGAGGAAGGUGGAAUUCCCGGUGUAGCAGUGAAAUGCGUAGAGAUCGGGAGGAACACCAGUGGCGAAGGCGGCCUUCUGGACCAAUACUGACGCUCAUGCACGAAAGCGUGGGGAGCAAACAGG
rnacentral:rRNA from 1 species